rnacentral:rRNA from 1 species
UGCGAGUGGAAGCGGCAACAGCUCAAAUUUGMAAUCUGGCCCCUUCGGGGUCCGAGUUGUAWUUUGUAGAGGGUGUUUCGGGCGCGAUGCCGGUCUAAGUUCCUUGGAACAGGACGUCGCAGAGGGUGAGAAUCCCGUACGCGACCGGCGAUCAAGCCUGUGUGARGCCCCUUCGACGAGUCGAGUUGUUUGGGAAUGCAGCUCAAAAYGGGUGGUAAAUUUCAUCUAAAGCUAAMUAUUGGCCAGAGACCGAUAGCGGACAAGUAGAGUGAUCGAAAGAUGAAAAGCACUUUGGAAAGAGAGUCAAACAGUACGUGAAAUUGUUGAAAGGGAAGCGCUUGCAAUCAGACCGGUCCGGAGGCGAUCAGCCGCYGCUCSUUCAGCGGUGCACUCGCCUGCGAUCCGGCCAGCAUCGGUUUGGGCGGUGGGAUAAAAGUCCCGGGAAUGUAGCUUCUCUCGGGGAGUCUUAUAGCCCGGGUCGCAAUGCCGCCCGCCCGGACCGAGGACCGCDCUUC